rnacentral:misc_RNA from 1 species
GAUGAAGAACGUAGCGAAAUGCGAUAAGUAAUGUGAAUUGCAGAAUUCAGUGAAUCAUCGAAUCUUUGAACGCACAUUGCGCCCGCCAGUAUUCUGGCGAGCAUGCCUGUUCGAGCGUCAUUUCAACCAUCAAGCCCCAGGCUUGUGUUGGAGCCCUGCGGCUGCCGCAGCCUCCCAAAACCAGUGGCGGGCUCGCUAUCACACCGAGUGCAGUAGUUUACUCUCGCUCAGGGCGUGUGGCGGGUGCUAGCCGUGAAACCCCCAACUUCUCAAGGUUGACCUCGGAUCAGGUAGGAAUACCCGCUGAACUUAAGCAUAUCAAUAAGCGGAGGA